UACGUAGGGUGCGAGCGUUGUCCGGAAUUAUUGGGCGUAAAGAGCUUGUAGGCGGUUUGUCGCGUCUGCCGUGAAAAUCCGGGGCUCAACCCCGGACUUGCGGUGGGUACGGGCAGACUAGAGUGUGGUAGGGGAGACUGGAAUUCCUGGUGUAGCGGUGAAAUGCGCAGAUAUCAGGAGGAACACCGAUGGCGAAGGCGGGUCUCUGGGCCGAUACUGACGCUGAGGAGCGAAAGCGUGGGGAGCGAACAGG
rnacentral:rRNA from 1 species